AGUGCCUCUGGUUAAAUCAAUUGGUGCCACUAAAGUAAAGCUCUAUGAUGCAGAUCCAAGGGUGCUUCGAGCAUUUGCCAAUACUGGAGUGGAAUUCAUCGUAGGACUUGGAAACGAGUAUUUAUCAAAGAUGAGAGAUCCUGAUAAAGCUCAAGCCUGGGUCAAAUCCAAUGUUCAAGCCUACUUACCAGCAACCAAGAUUACCUGCAUAACAGCAGGCAACGAAGUGUUAACUUUCAACGACACCUCUCUCAGCG
rnacentral:misc_RNA from 1 species